AGUGGUAUUCCUAAUUCAAAUGGUAGGUAUAUGUUUAACUUUAUAAGAAAUUGCCAAACUGUUUUCCAGAGUGGAUAUACCAUUUGCAUUCUUACCAGCAAU
rnacentral:pre_miRNA from 1 species